CAAAUUGGGCCCGAAACAGGCCUGGCUGCUCCAUUGGGGGUGGGAAGAGUCCCCCCCACCGCCACCAUGCGCUCCAACCACUCCCAAGACAGCUGGCAGUGGCAGAUUUAAGGGAAUUCCCCUUUGGUUUCUGGAUUACAACAAUCAAGCCAGUAAAAUCCAGGGAAGCAAUAGAUAUUCUACCAGCAAAGAUCAUAAUAGAGAACUCUUGAUCCACUGAGAACUCUGAUUAUUGCGUGUCAAGACUUGGAGAGCAGACAAGAAAAAAGGGCAGUUUUCUUUUAUGUCAUUGGCUGA